rnacentral:rRNA from 1 species
UACAGAGACCUCAAGCGUUAUCCGGAAUCAUUGGGCGUAAAGCGUACCGAUAGGUGGUUUUACAGGUCAGAAGUGAAAUCUCAAGGCUCAACCUUGAGACUGUCUUUUGAAACUGUAAAACUAGAGGAGCAAAGAGGAAGCUGGAACGAACGGUGUAGUAGUGAAAUGCGUUGAUAUCGUUCGGAACACCAAUAGCGUAGGCAGGCUUCUGGGUGCUACCUGACACUGCUAGGACGAAAGCGUGGGGAGCGAAUGGG